rnacentral:rRNA from 1 species
CGGUAAUUCCAGCUCCAAUAGCGUAUACUAAAGUUGUUGCGGUUAAAAAGCUCGUAGUUGGAUCUUGGAAUGUGAACGCGAGGUCGCUUUACUGAGUGAACUUUGUGGCGCAUUCUUCUAUUUGGUCGGUGUGUUUGUGCUCUUAAUUGAGUGCAACAUUCUACCAGAAAUUUUACCUUGAAAAAAUUAGAGUGUUCAAAGCAGACCUUUUUGCGUCUGAAUAUUCGUGCAUGGAAUAAUAAAAUAUGAAUUCGGUUCUAUUUUAUUGGUUUUCGGAACUCGAGUUAAUGAUUAAGAGGGACAGACGGGGGCAUCCGUACUCUGCCGUUAGAGGUGAAAUUCUUGGAUCGGCGGAAGACGCGCAACUGCGAAAGCAUUUGCCAAGAAUGUUUUCUUUAAUCAAGAACGAUAGUCGGAGGUUCGAAGACGAUCAGAUACCGUCCUAGUUUCGACUGUAAACUAUGCCAGCUAACGAUCAGACAGCGUUCUCUACGACUUGUCUGGCAGUUUCCGGGAAACCAAAGCUUUUGGGUUCCGAGGGAAGUAUGGUUGCAAAGCUGAAACUUAAAGGAAUUGACGGAAGGGCACCACCAGGAGUGGAGCCUGCGGCUUAAUUUGACUCAACACGGGGAAACUCACCCGGCCCGGACACAGUGAGGAUUGACAGAUUGAGAGUUCUUUCUUGGUUCUGUGGGUGGUGGUGCAUGGCCGUUCUUAGUUGGUGGAGCGAUUUGUCUGGUUAAUUCCGAUAACGAACGAGACUCUGGCAUGCUAACUAGUUACGCGACCCCCGAGCGGUCGGCGUCCCCCAACUUCUUAGAGGGACAAGUGGCGUUCAGCCACCCGAGAUUGAGCAAUAACAGGUCUGUGAUGCCCUUAGAUGUCCGGGGCUGCACGCGCGCUACACUGACUGGCUCAGCGUGUGCCUACCCUACGCCGGCAGGCGCGGGUAACCCGUUGAACCCCAUUCGUGAUGGGGAUCGGGGAUUGCGAUUAUUCCCCAUGAAUGAGGAAUUCCCAGUAAGUGCGGGUCAUAAGCUUGCGUUGAUUAAGUCCCUGCCCCUUGUACACACCGCCC